rnacentral:rRNA from 1 species
GACGAACGCUGGCGGCGUGCUUAACACAUGCAAGUCGAACGGAAAGGCCCUGCUUGCAGGGUACUCGAGUGGCGAACGGGUGAGUAACACGUGGGUGAUCUGCCCUGCACUUCGGGAUAAGCUUGGGAAACUGGGUCUAAUACCGGAUAGGAGCCAUCUUUAGUGUGGUGGUUGGAAAUUUUUUUCGGUGUAGGAUGAGCUCGCGGCCUAUCAGCUUGUUGGUGGGGUAAUGGCCUACCAAGGCGGCGACGGGUAGCCGGCCUGAGAGGGUGUACGGCCACAUUGGGACUGAGAUACGGCCCAGACUCCUACGGGAGGCAGCAGGGGGGAAUAUUGCACAAUGGGCGCAAGCCUGAUGCAGCGACGCCGCGUGGGGGAUGAAGGCCUUCGGGUUGUAAACUCCUUUCGCUAGGGACGAAGCUUUUUUGUGACGGUACCUAGAUAAGAAGCACCGGCUAACUACGUG